rnacentral:rRNA from 1 species
UACGUAGGGAGCAAGCGUUGUCCGGAAUCAUUGGGCGUAAAGGGCGCGUAGGCGGCAGAUCAAGUCAGCUGUGAAAUCUCCGAGCUUAACUCGGAACUGUCAGCUGAUACUGUUUUGCUAGAGUGCGGAAGGGGCAAUCGGAAUUCUUGGUGUAGCGGUGAAAUGCGUAGAUAUCAAGAGGAACACCUGAGGUGAAGACGGGUUGCUGGGCCGACACUGACGCUGAGUGCGCGAAAGCCAGGGGAGCAAACGGG